UUUUUGCUACACAGGUAUCCAAUGUUGUUACAUAAUUUAUUUUCAUUUACUAAUGCAAAUAACUGCUCUAGUUUCUUUUAAUUCAGAGUCUGGUGCUCCAAAAUAGUGAGAAUGUGCAAAAGAUUAAACUGUGCAUUGCACAAAUUGUUAUCAUUUAGAUCAUUAUAAAGUAUGUCACAUCAUAAAAUAGGUGCAUGACAAGGAGUAGUCAUAAUGGUAGCUAUAAUAAUAGUAGUAAAAGUAGUAAUAGCUAAAGGUAAUAUUUUUGAGCAAUUAAAAAUUUCCUGCUCUGGGGGCACCUGGGUGGCUGAAUUGAUUGAGGGUCUGACUCUUGCUAUUCACUCAAGUCAUGAUCUCAGGGUAGUGAGAUUGAGCCCCACUGGUUCCACGCUCAGUGGUGAGUCCGCUUAAGAUUCUCUUGCCCUUCUUCUGCCCCUCACACCUCCAGUCUCUCUCUCAAAUAAAUAGUCUUUAAAAAAAAUAGCCCGCUUUUGAGCAGACACUGUUCUAUGUGACUUACAUGCAUUAACAAAUUCCUUACAAUAAUUAUCACAAUACUAUUUUAUCCAUCCUUUCUACAGAUCAGAAGACUGAGGCACAGAAAGAUAAGUAAUUUGCUUCAGCUCACACAGCUAAUAAAUGAUGGAAUCAUGAUUUGAACCCAGAAAGUUGGCUUCAGAGCUUUCUCUAGAAGGCUGUGUUUUGUUUUUCUUUAAGAGGACUAAGAAGAAUUCGCAGCAGUCUCAGACUUGACUGG